UACGUAGGGGGCAAGCGUUGUCCGGAUUCAUUGGGCGUAAAGAGCGUGUAGGCGGCCAGGUAGGUCGGUUGUGAAAACUGGAGGCUCAACCUUCAGAGGUCGACCGAAACCUUCUGGCUAGAGUCCGGGAGAGGAGAGUGGAAUUCCUGGUGUAGCGGUGAAAUGCGCAGAUAUCAGGAAGAACACCCGUGGCGAAAGCGGCUCUCUGGAACGGUACUGACGCUGAGACGCGAAAGCGUGGGGAGCGAACCGG
rnacentral:rRNA from 1 species